CCGGCGCACGGGUGAGUAACACGUAUGCAACCUGCCUGCCACAGCCGGAUAAUCGGGAGAAAUUCCGUCUAAUACGGCAUAAUGCAUCGACGGGACAUCCUGUUGGUGCCAAAGGUUAAUUCCGGUGGCGGAUGGGCAUGCGUCGCAUUAGUUAGUUGGCGGUGUAACGGACCACCAAGACGACGAUGCGUAGGGGUUCUGAGAGGAAGGUCCCCCACACUGGUACUGAGACACGGCCCAUACUCCUACGGGAGGCAGCAG
rnacentral:rRNA from 1 species